rnacentral:rRNA from 1 species
UACGAAGGGGGCUAGCGUUGUUCGGAUUUACUGGGCGUAAAGCGCACGUAGGCGGAUCGAUCAGUCAGGGGUGAAAUCCCAGAGCUCAACUCUGGAACUGCCUUUGAUACUGUCGAUCUGGAGUAUGGAAGAGGUGAGUGGAAUUCCGAGUGUAGAGGUGAAAUUCGUAGAUAUCCGGAGGAACACCAGUGGCGAAGGCGGCUCACUGGUCCAUUACUGACGCUGAGGUGCGAAAGCGUGGGGAGCAAACAGG